rnacentral:rRNA from 1 species
UGAAACGGCGGAAGGGUGAAUAACACGUAACAACCUGCCCUCAAGACUGGGAUAACUACCGGAAACGGUAGCUAAUACCGGAUAAUUUAUUUCACAGCAUUGUGGAAUAAUGAAAGACGGAGCAAUCGUCACUUGGGGAUGGGCCUGCGGCGAAUUAACUAAUUAAUGGGGUAAUGGCUCACCAAGGCGACGAUGCGUAGCCGACCUGAGAGGGAGAACGGCCACACUGGGACUGAGACACGGCCCAAACUCCUCGGGAGGCAGCAGUAGGGAAUCUUCCGCAAUGGGCGAAAGCCUGACGGAGCAACGCCGCGUGAGUGAUGAAGGUUUUCGGAUCGAAAAGCUCUGUUGCCAAGGAAGAACGUCUUCUAAAGUAACUGCAGGAGAGUGACGGUACUUGAGAAGAAAGCCCCGGCUAACUACGUGCCAGCAGCCGCGGUAAUACGUAAGGGGCAAGCGUUGUCCGGAAUUAUUGGGCGUAAAGCGCGCGCAGGCGGUUCUUUAAGUCGGAGUUAAAACCCGAAGCUCAACUUCAGGUCGCACUGGAAACUGGGGGACUUGAGUGCAGAAGAGGAGAGUGGAAUUCCACGUGUAGCGAAGAAAAGCGUAAAUAUGUGGAGGAACACCAAAGGAAAAAAAACUCUCUGGAAAGUAACUGACGCUAAAAAAAAAAGCGAGGGGAACAAC